GUGGGGAAUAUUGGACAAUGGGCGCAAGCCUGAUCCAGCCAUGCCGCGUGAGUGAUGAAGGCCUUAGGGUUGUAAAGCUCUUUCAGUGGGGACGAUAAUGACGGUACCCACAGAAGAAGCCCCGGCUAACUUCGUGCCAGCAGCCGCGGUAAUACGAAGGGGGCUAGCGUUGUUCGGAUUUACUGGGCGUAAAGCGCACGUAGGCGGAUCGUUAAGUCGGGGGUGAAAUCCUGGAGCUCAACUCCAGAACUGCCUUCGAUACUGGCGAUCUUGAGUCCGGAAGAGGUGAGUGGAACUCCUAGUGUAGAGGUGGAAUUCGUAGAUAUUAGGAAGAACACCCGUGGCGAAGGCGGCUCACUGGUCCGGUACUGACGCUGAGGUGCGAAAGCGUGGGGAGCAAACAGGAUUAGAAACCCCGGUAGUCC
rnacentral:rRNA from 1 species